rnacentral:rRNA from 1 species
UGAGUAACGCGUGAGGAACCUGCCUCAAAGAGGGGGACAACAGUUGGAAACGACUGCUAAUACCGCAUAAGCCCACGGGUCGGCAUCGACCAGAGGGAAAAGGAGCAAUCCGCUUUGAGAUGGCCUCGCGUCCGAUUAGCUAGUUGGUGAGGUAAUGGCCCACCAAGGCGACGAUCGGUAGCCGGACUGAGAGGUUGAACGGCCACAUUGGGACUGAGACACGGCCCAGACUCCUACGGGAGGCAGCAUG